GCUGCGCCGGUGAGCCCCGUUCGCGGGCAAGGCGGGGCAGCUGAGGCGCUGCGGGCGUCCCCGAGCGGAGAACGGGGGCAGGUACCGCUACCAGAGAGCCCUCUGCUCCGCAGACACACCUCGGCAAGUUAGAGAUGGACAACCACCAACCGCGCCAGGGGCAAGCGCAGGAGCAUGCACUGGGGACGGGAAGCCCUGGCUCUCUGUGUAGCCUGGGGAACGGGAGAGCAGCGCUGUGCGAAGGGCCCCGGGGGUCCUGGUCGAUGGAAAGCUGAAUUAAAGUCUAAACUGCAUGUCUGAGAUGAAGAUAAAUGGUGGUGUAACUAUCAAGCUUUUUCUGUAUGACCCCAUGCACUGACCUGGAGAAGUCAAGUAUGGAAAUAGAGCCUGCUUCAGAAACCAGACUGACAAUGUGUGUUACUCAUCUGGCAGCAAUCACAGAGCUCAAAUCACCAUUCUGAUUCUUAUGGAAGAUGAUAUUCUGAUGUGUGGCUGAUUGUGUCUCCAGGAUGCAUGUUAAGGAGAGACGGGUUAGAAAUUAGUGAAUUUAACUUUCAGUGUUACUGCUGUUUUGUUACAGAACAUUGAUAUCAGCUCCCAUCAUUUCAACACACAGCUGUCUUGUUCAAAACAUCAUUAGCAAUAGCAGCCUUCCAAGGAAUUAAAAUUUUUUGUCUUUGUCUAAGCACUUUUACCUCUGUCAUGGGUUUAAUAGAGGGUUUAAAGAGUUUCCUUCUAACUCCCAUUUUGCUUAUGACUGUGUCAUCAUGGUUGACUUGCAAGACCUUCGGGGUCUGAUGCAUAUGUGAGAUACCUCAAGGCUGCAUGCUCCCUCUCCUCUCAUCCAUCAGCAGUUCAUAUGUGUAAACAGACUGGUCUGCCACCACCCACCAUGCAGACCAACAUUAUUUAUUCUGCUGUCAGCCAAUUUGAUGAUUAUUAUGGAAAUCAUGUAUACCUCUGAUGGGCAUUCCUUUCUGUCACUCCUUCACGGCACAGGCUUUACCCAAGAAAUUAUUUUAGAAAGCUGCUAUAUGUUUUGUCAGUGUUACAAAGCAUUGUAACAUGGGGCCAUUUUUUCCUGAAGUGUUCCAUCACAAAGUUGUGAGUAUGAAAUUAACAAGUAUCCUCCCCAGAAUUUGAAAUGAACGGACUCUUGUGAAUUCCAAGGAUUUUACUCUGCCACAUUUUAGUAAUCUUCACAAAUGGUCAAAUUAGCACAAAGUACUAUUUCAUUUAUGCUUAAAAAUAUGCCCUAUAAAUAAUUUAUGCUACGCACUAUCAUUUACUUGCUCUGACAAAAAAUACAGCUCAGUUAGUUUGGAGAACCAUGGAGGGCCAGAGAUAAUUGCCCAUUACAGUUUUUGGUACAGUCCAGCUCUUGUUACACUUCACUGACCACAGGUGAUAAUUGCAAUGUGUUUUUUCCUCUUGUUCUUGCUCGUGCUGUCCCACAGGUGCUAACAUUUUCUUUGCCUCAUACUAUCAUCGUCUAGCUGGAAACGUAAUUAGGCCAAAGUCUGAGGUUAUUCCCUAUCUGUAACUAAUUUAAAGUUCACAGCUUUUUCUUUUUUUUUUUUUUUUUUUCCAAACUGAAUAAAGGCUUGUUAGUACCAAUCAACAAGUUGAUUUAAUAUAUCAUCCUUUGGAGCUCAGUCCUCAUAUGAAGAAUAUGAUACUUUUUUUGAUACUGAUACUUGCACAUCCUCAUGGACUUAAUUCAGCCCAAGUGCUUUAC